GGGCGAGUGGCGAAAUUGGCAGACGCGCACGGUUCAGGGCCGUGUGGGAGCAAUCCCGUGGAGGUUCAAAUCCUCUCUCGCCCA
rnacentral:tRNA from 1 species